CCUACGUGAGGCAGCAGUGGGGAAUAUUGCGCAAUGGGCGAAAGCCUGACGCAGCGACGCCGCGUUAGGGAUGAAGGUCUUCGGAUCGUAAACCUCUGUCAGCAGGGAAGAACGGUCACUGUGCUAAUCAGCAGUGAAUUGACGGUACCUGCAAAGGAAGCACCGGCUAACUCCGUGCCAGCAGCCGCGGUAAUACGGAGGGUGCGAGCGUUAAUCGGAAUUACUGGGCGUAAAGCGCUCGUAGGCGGUAUGUCAAGUCAAGGGUGAAAUCCCCGCGCUCAACGUGGCAACUGCCUUUGAAACUGGCAAACUGGAGUGUGUGAGAGGAUAGUGGAAUUCCAGGUGGAGGAGUGAAAUCCGUAGAUAUCUGGAGGAACAUCAGUGGCGAAGGCGACUAUCUGGCACAUAACUGACGCUGAGGAGCGAAAGCGUGGGUAGCAAACAGGAUUAGAUACCCCAGUAGUC
rnacentral:rRNA from 1 species